rnacentral:rRNA from 1 species
UGGGGAAUAUUGGACAAUGGGCGCAAGCCUGAUCCAGCCAUGCCGCGUGAGUGAUGACGGCCUUCGGGUUGUAAAGCUCUUUUGUCCGGGAAGAUAAUGACUGUACCGGAAGAAUAAGCCCCGGCAAACUUCGUGCCAGCAGCCGCGGUAAUACGAAGGGGGCUAGCGUUGUUCGGAUUUACUGGGCGUAAAGCGCACGUAGGCGGCUUGUUAAGUCAGAGGUGAAAGCCUGGAGCUCAACUCCAGAACUGCCUUUGAUACUGGCAGGCUCGAGUAUGGAAGAGGUUGGUGGAACUCCGAGUGUAGAGGUGAAAUUCGUAGAUAUUCGGAAGAACACCAGUGGCGAAGGCGGCCAACUGGUCCAUUACUGACGCUGAGGUGCGAAAGCGUGGGGAGCAAACA